rnacentral:rRNA from 1 species
CAAUAUAAGUGAUGGCGACCGGCGCACGGGUGAGUAACACGUAUCCAACCUGCCGAUAACUCGGGGAUAGCCUUUCGAAAGAAAGAUUAAUACCCGAUGGUAUAAUAAAACCGCAUGGUUUAAUUAUUAAAGAAUUUCGGUUAUCGAUGGGGAUGCGUUCCAUUAGGCAGUUGGUGAGGUAACGGCUCACCAAACCUUCGAUGGAUAGGGGUUCUGAGAGGAAGGUCCCCCACAUUGGAACUGAGACACGGCCCAA